UACGUAGGGUGCAGGCGUUAAUCGGAAUUACUGGGCGUAAAGCGUGCGCAGGCGGCUCCUUAAGUCAGAUGUGAAAGCCCCGGGCUUAACCUGGGAACUGCGUUUGAAACUGGGGAGCUGGAGUGUAGAAGAGGGGGGUGGAAUUCCAGGUGUAGCAGUGAAAUGCGUAGAUAUCUGGAGGAACACCGGUGGCGAAGGCGGCAUCCUGGACCAUUACUGACACUGAAAAGCGAAAGCCAGGGGAGCAAACGGG
rnacentral:rRNA from 1 species